rnacentral:rRNA from 1 species
UACGGAGGGUGCGAGCGUUGUCCGGAAUCACUGGGCGUAAAGGGCGCGUAGGGGGCGCGGGCAGUCAACGGUGAAAGUUCGGGGCUCAACCCUGAAUCGGCCGUCGAUACUCCCGGGCUUGAGCACUGUAGAGGCUAAUGGAAUUCCGGGUGUAGCGGUGGAAUGCGUAGAGAUCCGGAAGAACACCGGUGGCGAAGGCGGUUAGCUGGGCAGUUGCUGACACUGAGGCGCGACAGCGUGGGGAGCAAACAGG